rnacentral:rRNA from 1 species
GACGGAGGAUGCAAGCGUUAUCCGGAAUGAUUGGGCGUAAAGCGUCCGCAGGUGGCAGUUCAAGUCUGCUGUCAAAGACCGGGGCUUAACUUCGGAAAGGCAGUGGAAACUGAACAGCUAGAGUAUGGUAGGGGCAGAGGGAAUUCCGGGUGUAGCGGUGGAAUGCGUAGAGAUCCGGAAGAACACCGGUGGCGAAGGCGGCCUGCUGGGCAGUGGCUGACGCUGAGGCGCGACAGCGUGGGGAGCAAACAGG